GAUUCAACUCAGCUGCUCAGGCUCAAACGCCUCUCCAAGCUGAAUGAUUCAAACUGGAUUCUCUCAGCUUCUGACUGAAUUUACUCUACUUGGCCUCAUAAUAACUUUGGCAAUCUGUACUAGUCUUCUGUCUUCACCUGUGUCUAGCUUGUUCUCUCUCUGCAACCUGUCUCUGUACAACUUUAAUAAGACUGCCUUCUCCCUCUAUCCCUGUGCUGUUCCCUCUUGUGUUGUCUCUCUUUCCCCUCUCUUCUUGUAAGAGUUGGGCAGAUCCUGUUCUGUCGAAUCUUUCUCUGAUUCACCACUUUGCCUCUGAAUUAAUUUCACUUUCAAACAUGGGUGCUUCCUUCUACAAAUCGACUUUACCUUCAUUGUUUGGGAUUAAUGUCUGCAUUCUGGCCAGAUCACAGAGACUUAAAAAAGGUCUUUCGAUGUUGCUGAAUUAAAAUUCCUCUACAUACAGCUUGGUGGCAGAGUGCUAGCCUAGCAUUCAUGAGGCCCUGGGUUCAUCCCCAGCACUAAAGAAAAAGUAAAUGAAAACUUUGACUGCAGAGUUGUAAAUCGCAAUAAAAAUGACAAUCUCCUCUCAUCAA
rnacentral:lncRNA from 1 species